GAAAUGCGAUAAGUAGUGUGAAUUGCAGAAUUCAGUGAAUCAUCGAAUCUUUGAACGCACAUUGCGCCCCUUGGUAUUCCAUGGGGCAUGCCUGUUCGAGCGUCAUUUGUACCCUCAAGCUCUGCUUGGUGUUGGGUGUCUGUCCCGUCUCCGCGCGUGGACUCGCCCCAAAGUGAUUGGCAGCCGGCGUACUGGUCCCGGAGCGCAGCACAUGUCGCGCAAACGAGUGCCUUGGUACGGCGGCGUCCAUAAGCCCCUCUCUCACGCUCUUGACCUCGGAUCAGGUAGGGAUACCCGCUGAACUUAAGC
rnacentral:misc_RNA from 1 species